rnacentral:rRNA from 1 species
UACGGAGGGGGCUAGCGUUGUUCGGAAUUACUGGGCGUAAAAGCGCACGAGGCGGAUUGGAAAGUUGGGGGUGAAAUCCCGGGGCUCAACCCCCGGAACUGCCUUCAAAACUCCCAGUCUGGAGGUCGAGAGAGGUGAGUGGAAUUCCGAGUGUAGAGGUGAAAUUCGUAGAUAUUCGGAGGAACACCAGUGGCGAAGCGGCUCACUGGCUCGAUACUGACGCUGAGGUGCGAAAGCGUGGGGAGCAAACAGG